CCCGGGCUACACACGUGCUACAAUGGCAGGUACAGAGGGCUGCGAAGCCGCGAGGUGGAGCGAAUCCCAGAAAACCGGUCUCAGUCCGGAUUGGAGUCUGCAACUCGACUCCAUGAAGUUGGAAUCGCUAGUAAUCGCAGAUCAGCAACGCUGCGGUGAAUACGUUCCCGGGCCGUU
rnacentral:rRNA from 1 species